GGGGCGGCCCUCCAGCCAGCCUCCGAGGCCUGCCAGCCCCGGGCUCGUCUCCAAGCGAAGCAGUGAGGAGGUUGCCUCCCCCACCUGGGCGCUCCCCCAGGCCCCAGAGUCUUGGUCCCUGGUCUCCUUGGCCCCAGGCAGGUCCUGUGGCUCGGUAGUCAAAUCCCAUGAGUCAGUAGUACAGCAGGCACCUGUCCCCAGGCACACAUGCACACUGACACGCUCACGCAUGCCCACGAGGGCACACAGCCCCCGCUCAAAUUCAGAGUCCACCCUUAGUCACCCCAACAAGUCCCUCCCUGGCCCUACCCUGGAACAUUCCCUCCUCCGGAGGCCCUGGUGCUCUGAGGAAGGCUGGGGGCUGACAGGCUGCGGUACUGUCCACACAGACGGGCCCCCUCCCCAUGCAUCUCUCUCCUGGUUGCUGGGGAGGCCAGAAGGGAAGCCCCCUUGCCUGGGCUCAGCAUCCACCGUCCUUGCCUCGCCCGGGGUCUCAGGCAGGCCCCUGCUGUAUCCGUGGUGCUGCCGUGUUGGUCACUGAUAGACUAAAGAGACGACUGGAGUCCAGAGAAGUCGGCUGCCAUUUGUUCCAGGAUCAUGGCUUGAGGGAGGGGCAUGUCUCUGGGUGCCCGUCCUUGGAGGGACACGACCAAGAGGCACCGGUGUGGCAAGCGGCAUGUGUAGGAAGCAAGGCCAAAAACACACUCUGUGGCCUCAGGGCACCGUUUAAUGUUGCCAGGCCACUGAGUUAUCCUCAGAUGUCUGAGGGGUGUGCUCCAUCUGGUUCCUUCAUUACUAUUCAACUCAGCGUGACAAACAUUGAUCCACACCUACUUCAUGCCAGACACCACACUAGGCAUGGGGAUCCACAGCUUUAUCCCCCAAGGAGCGCACAGGUAGCAGAGGAAACAGCUUGGAAAGCACUAGAACGUUCUGGAACCCAGUUGAAGGAUGGCUUAUUCUGCCUUAGGGGAAGAUGGGGUGAAGAAAGCAGGAGGAUGAGCCACGGAGAAGAGAUGAUGUUCAUGUUGGGCCGGUUAAGAGUUUGUGCAGGUGCUGGGGCCCCUUCCUGUCCCCCCUUGGUCUGCCUGGAGAGGAAGCGGGGACAGGGGUGUGGGGGGAGGCUGGCGUUUCCCCUGGGCCUACAGGGGCUGCAAGUGCCACCCUCUCCAACGCACACACGUGGAGCCCAGAGCAAGCUGUGGCCGGGUGAGAUACAGCCAGCCCGCGUGGGAGCCGCGUGUGUGAAUCUGGGUCCCGGCCCAUCUUCAGAAAAUGGCUCACAGGGAAACAGGUCCUGCUCUGUUCGGCUCAGUCCUUUUACUGUCAGUUUUCAGACAAAACUGUCAGCUUGGGUUCGUUGAGCUUUUUGAAAGCUUUCCAGGUAUUUAGUAAAAUCUGGGGAUUUUGUGGUUUCAUAUUUUAUCUUUACGGGAAAGCCAGCAUGGAACCUGAGUGUGCAAUAAAGAAGCUAAGGGAAUUCAGUGCGGCCUGUGGAGGGGUGGCGGGAGCCCACCGCCAUCCCAGCCCCUGUGGGGAAGUGUGUUGAGGGGCUGGGAUUGAGGAAGCGGUCAGCUGCCGCUACUGCUGCUUGGGUUGGUCAGGGGUCCGGGUGGUAAGUGGGAGGGCGUCUCUCCCUCACGCCAGUUCUCACCAGUAUCUUCCCCUUAAAGAUGGGCUCAUUGCUUUCCACGUGGCACCUCAUUUAAGUCUCUCAGAAAGACCCUGAGGCAGGUAAUGCUGCCACGGGUGACAAAACGUCCUGGACGGGGUGGGCUAGGGCUGUGCUCUCAUCCUGUCCUGUGGGUUCCGGCGGGAAGAAGGGCGCCACGACGUGGGUGGGGAGGGAGCAGUGUGGGACGGCAGGGACCGAGGAACCCGAGCCACUGGGAUCUUAGUUCCUAUUCAAUAGCCACAGUCUGCUGCCUCAAGGCACACUGGCAGAUGAGCUCUCUAGCCUUGGGCUUGCCCUGGGACCGCACAACAAAUCUAAGUCCGGUAGAGCUAAGAGGAACCCUGACCCAAGGUCAUGGGCGUUUUAAGAGCUCUCUUAUCUGUUCCUACGAGGAAAACCAAAACAAAACACUGGCACGCCAAACUUCAGAAACGUUGAGAAUUCUUCUAAAGGUUAUACAUCAACCAAGCACCAGCACCUCCCACGUGGGCGGAGCCAGGCUGGGUGGGCGGGGCCGCGGAGUCGGGUGCAGUUGGGGCCGGCGGCCACAGGUGGCAGCACGGAGGCCGGACGCUCUGCCGGUUUCGGAGCUCGAGCUGGCCCCCCCUCGGUGGAGCGUGGGAGGAGGUGUUGGGGGCAGGCCCAAGGGACCACCCUUCCUCCAGCCCCACUCCUCAGCCCCUUUGGAGGAUUUGCCCCUGGAGUUGAGAAGGUUCUUGGCUGGGAGCCUGGGCGGCUGCGCCCUGGGUGAAUUUGACCCCGCACGGCAGCCCUGUCCUCGGCGUAGCCCCUGGAGCCGGCAGGAUGCGGGUAGAAGGCUGGAGCACGGACACCAGGUCACCCUCAGACGUCCUUUGUGAAGAUGGAAGGACGGGGCUUUUUUUGCUGGAGGACUCACUGGGAGGUAGCGUUUGUUGCCGUGCUGGCCCAGCUCGAGCUCCCUGGGACUCCUUCCAGGACAGCGGCAGCCCUCAGUGACCACUCCCUCACCCCAGCAACUCCAGCACUUAAGACUGAGCCUCUCACACCUCCGGAGUCUCUCGGAAGUUUUCAUCUGUGACUCAUCUCUAAAGUCAUCUGACCGCUCUUGGCAUCUGAUUAUAAGCCCCUGGAUAGCAGGGAUUAUGUGUCACUGGCCUCUUUGUAGCACACAUAGCAUGUGCUCAAAAAAAAUUGUUGUAUAUGACAAGAUUGCCCCCAAAUGUCAUCUCUGAAACUCUUUGCCAUGGUGGGAGACAGCAGUGGCCGGCCAUCAUAAGAGGCUCGUCUUUUUGGCUUUGGUGGGCGUGGCUUUUUGGCUUUGGUGGGCGUGGCAUGGUUUUAGAGGCCCGGCAAGAUGCACUCUUUAGUUUGUUUUGCUUCAGUUAAGUUAGCUCGCUCACAUUCCCUAAGCAUGUAGAUACUGGGCGGGCUGGGUGGAGGUGACAGGGAGCACCUGGGCAGUGAGGGAGAGCUGCCUUCGCCUCCAGAACAUCCUCUGCAUCAUACACAGAGCCCAGCUGGCGAGGGCAAGGAGCUGGCUGCGAGUGGAAACCAGGCCCGGGGAGGGUUUCCAUCAGUGACUGCGGUUGGCGGCUGAACAUUCCUGUGGUCACCAGGAUAAUUAUGCUAACAUCACUGUGCUGUUUGUGAAAGACGACCUGGUUUUCAGAAAUGCCCACUGUCUGCUGUGUAUUUACACCAGGAGGGGGUGGAGGUAGAGGAGGUAACUGCUCUUUCCUUAGUCCGUAAAGAACUCCAAACUGGGAGCAAGUAUGAGAUUCAAACAGGGGUCAUCCAGAAGACCUCCUGCCGUGCCCAUCAGAGAUCCCACGUCUCAGCCUGGAGUGGAUACACACUUGGCCUGACUCAGAAGACCUGCCCGAGUCUAGUUUGGGGCCAGCUCUACCAACAAGCAGACGUGUAGCUCAGGCUGCUGUGCUCAACCUCCCUGACCCCAGGCUUCGCCUCUAAUAUAAAGUAGAAAUCGUGCCUGCCCUGCCUACCUCACAGGGUUUUGAGAACUGUAGAUGUUAGAAUUUCAGGGAUUAGAAAUUGUCGACCCCAUUCUCACUAUCCAUGAGACCCCGAGAGGUUAAAUAACACGUCCAAGGUCACGCAUCUAGCCACGCAUCUAGUGGCAGAGCUAGAUCUCAGGUCUUGUGGCUCCUCUAUUCGUUGUUGAUACUAUUAUUGCACGUAUCAUGCUUUGUUUAUUUACCUGUCCACCAUCCACGCAGAAGUGUAAGCCCCUAGAGGGCAGGGAUCCACUCUCACACCUCUUUUUUCUCUAGCGCCUGGUACAUACUAAAGGUGCUCAAUAAACGUGUGUUGACCUAAACUGA